CUUCAGUGAGGAUGAGAUGACGAGUCCGAAAGGGAAUGUCCUUGUCCAAGUGUCCUGCUCCAUGCUGUGUUCUGCAGCAUGGAUUUGGGGCCCUUGGGUCCCAGUGUGAGUGACACAGAGGCAUUUGUCUGAGAAGG
rnacentral:snoRNA from 1 species